UUUCACCUCCAAAUCUUGCUCAAACCUUCACCAAAUUCAACCAAAAUUUAACUACGCUUAGCUCAACACUUGGGAAGUCCAUCUAGCUGCAAAAGAAAGGAGCUCUCCACGGUUUUCUUCAGGCUUCAAAGGGCCGAAAAUUCUGACUUGAACAACCAUCAAAGUAGGUAAUGAUCCAACACUCUAAACUUAUCCUAUGGAGGUUAAAUUACACAUAUGAGCUUGAAUCUUUACAUGGGUAACUUGUAUUGUUGGAAAAUUUUGAUGGUGGGAUCUACGAACUCCCACCCUUGGCUUGUUGGCUGAUGAAAUGAUUGAUGUUGGAUAUAAUGCUGGUUUAGUGUUAAAAUGGUGGAUUAAUGGUGUAUUAUUAGUAGAAACUUCAAGGAACUCAUGGGAUAGAAAUUUCUGAUUUUGUCCCUGCCUUGUUCGGUUAUUUUAAGGCCAAUUUUUUAUGAUCUAAUGGCUUGAAUAUGAUGUUUAUAUGUUGUAUUAGUUGUAUAAAAAUUUUCAUUGGAAAAUAUUAAAGUUUGGUUGGGCAAAUGAAUUUCUUUGUGAAACUAGUCAAGCUGGAAAACUGUUUCCGUGUAGCUCUGUCCAGUGAUAGUGUUUCGGCCGUAACUUUGUCCUCCGAUGUCGAAAUCGAGUACCGUCGGUAGUAUUUGAAACUAGACAUCCACGCAUUUCCAACGGUAUAAAACGCACAUUUUGGUUCCAAGUGUGUGAGCCAAACCAAUCGUUUUAAGAAGGCUGCCCUGUUUCUCUAUUCUGCUGAAAUGAUUUGAUGAUGCUGCAACUUUAGGCUUAAUUUCGAGCCAGUUGCAUGCUGAAUCUUAAAACGAUUUCCCCUGUGAAAUUAUAUCCCUAUGAAUUUAUUUUCUAACACUAUAAACUAUGCUCAAAUCCGAGUUAAAUUGAGUGAGUUAUGAUCAAAAUACGGUGACUGCCUUGUCCUUGAAAACCCUAGGAUUUGGACAGAUUCGAUGUGAGACUUGUUGUGGUCUUACUAAAUGAAUUUCUUGGUGCUAAACACCUACUAAAUGUACCAUGUAUGUUCAUUAGACCUUUCUUGCACAAAUGAACCAUGUUUGGAGGUUCCUUAACCGAAUGUUUGGAAACCGAGAGAAAGGGAGCUAAAGGCAGUUUUGCCUUAGUAAUUUCAAAACUUUGGUUGAUUGGUUAACCACCUUCCUGAAGGUAUUUUUCCACAAAAUUUGAUAGAGAGAUACCCUUCAUAUAGGAGUACUAUACUGAAAAAUUUGGCACCAAUCCAAGUCCGUUUCGACACUUAACUAAAGGUCCGAAGUCGGAAACCCAAAUCUGGAAAUUGUUCAACAGUCUUGAAUUUUUCCCAACUUUGAGCUACCAUAUCUUGGUGCUCGAAACUCCGAUUCUCGAUCCGCUUGUUCUGUCCUAAACCUUACUUGCACCUCUAAUUGAGUUAUAAAUUUUAAGGGCUGGUUUGCAAUGAGUGAAUUCUACCGAAUUUCCAAAGUUAGCGAAAAACCAACCCCGGCUCAAUCCUGGGGUGAUCUGGAACAGCAACUUUAAACUCAUUUUUGAAUACCUUCCACUUAGAUUCGUGGAACCGUUCUAGGAACUUUUAGUACCUUCAAAGAGGUUUCCAACGGUACCAAGUUUUUCAAUUUUUGACUAGUAGAAAAGAAGUUAUGAUUUUUCAAAGAUUUUACCAAAAAUCGAGAAUUCCGGAAUUUCAAAGGAAUCCGCGCGGGAAGCAUUUUUCUAGAAUCCGGCCUUGAAUCCGGCCAGUUUCUGGCCGGAUAGGCGGCCGGAUUGUAGUUGGGAUUUGAAAAAAAAAUGAGGAUGGCUGCUGCCUCCAAUCCGGCCAAGAUUCCGGCCGGAUAUCCGGCCAAGAUUCCGGCCGGAUUGUAACGUGGCCAGUCCACUUUCAACUUUGGUCGUUCAUUUUGAGAUUUAUUCGCACGUACUCGUUUCCAUCCAAUGAUUUCAAGAAUAAUAAUCCGAUCUUACUCGAGUCUCGCACCCUUUUUGCGAAUCCAACUUCAAAGACAAACUCAAACGAAAUUUCCAAAAUAUUUCCAGACCACAUUUGUGUUCGAUCUCCUCGUCUCUUGGGGACCUAUAGUAAUGGUCUUCUAUUCGAUGUUCAGGCACGCACGAGGACCUCCAAGAGGACCCUACCGUGGAAGUUUGAACUCUCAAUCCAACCUGCUUGC
rnacentral:lncRNA from 1 species